rnacentral:rRNA from 1 species
GAUGAACGCUAGCGACAGGCCUAAAACAUGCAAGUCGAGGGGAAGCAUGAAAUUAGCUUGCUAAUUUUGAUGGCGACAGGCGGACGGGUGAGUAACACGUAUGAAACCUGCUUGUAAGCGGGGGAUAACCCGGAGAAAAUCGGACUAAUACCGCAUAAUAUCAUUGAUUCGAAAGCAUCAAUGAUAAAAAAUUUAUUGCUCACAGCUGGGCAUGCGUAUGAUUAGCUACUUGGCGGGGUAACGGCCCACCAAGGCGACGAUCAUUAGGGGUUCUGAGAGGAAGGUCCCCCACAUUGAAACUGAGACACGGUCCAAACUCCUACGGGAGGCAGCAGUGAGGAAUAUUGGUCAAUGGACGAGAGUCUGGACCAGCCAUGUCGCGUGAAGGAUGACUGUCCUAUGGAUUGUAAACUUCUUUUAUAUGGGGAUAAAGUGUGAGACUUGUCUCAUUUUGCAUGUACCAUAUGAAUAAGCAUCGGCUAACUCCGUGCCAGCAGCCGCAGUAACAC